AGAGUUUGAUCAUGGCUCAGAGCGAACGCUGGCGGCGUGCUUAACACAUGCAAGUCGAGUGCGCAGCUUCCUGUAGCAAUACAGGGAGUGGGCGCACGGCGCACGGGUGCGUAACACGUGGGCAAUCUGCCCUCGGAUGGGGGAUAACUCGUCGAAAGGCGAGCUAAUACCGCAUGACAUUCCUGGAACUCCGGUUCCGGGACUCAAAGGCCGCAAGGCCGUCUGAGGAGGAGCCCGCGCCCGAUUAGCUAGUUGGUGAGGUAACGGCUCACCAAGGCUUUGAUCGGUAGCCGGUCUGAGAGGAUGGCCGGCCACACUGGAACUGAGACACGGUCCAGACUCCUACGGGAGGCAGCAGUGGGGAAUAUUGCGCAAUGGGCGAAAGCCUGACGCAGCGACGCCGCGUGGGGGAUGAAGCUUCUCGGAGUGUAAACCCCUUUCGACCCGGACGAAUGACCCGCAAGGGUUUGACGGUACGGGUAUAAGAAGCCCGGCUAACUACGUGCCAGCAGCCGCGGUA
rnacentral:rRNA from 1 species